rnacentral:tRNA from 1 species
GUCCCUGUAGCGCAAUGGAUAGCGCGUAGGACUUCUAAUUCAAAGGCCGUGCGUUCGAAUCCCACCAGGGAUG